rnacentral:rRNA from 1 species
ACUCUUACGGGAGGCAGCAGUGGGGAAUAUUGCACAAUGGGGGAAACCCUGAUGCAGCCAUGCCGCGUGUGUGAAGAAGGCCUUCGGGUUGUAAAGCACUUUCAGCGAGGAGGAAAGGGUGUGUGCUAAUACCAUACAUCUGUGACGUUUACUCGCAGAAGAAGCACCGGCUAACUCCGUGCCAGCAGCCGCGGUAAUACGGAGGGUGCGAGCGUUAAUCGGAAUUACUGGGCGUAAAGCGUGCGCAGGCGGUUUGUUAAGCGAGAUGUGAAAGCCCCGGGCUCAACCUGGGAAUUGCAUUUCGAACUGGCAGCUAGAGUCUUGUAGAGGGGGGUAGAAUUUCAGGUGUAGCGGUGAAAUGCGUAGAGAUCUGAAGGAAUACCGGUGGCGAAGGCGGCCCCCUGGCACAAAGACUGACGCUCAUGCACGAAAGCGUGGGGAGCAAACAGGAUUAGAUACCCUGGUAGGCGU